rnacentral:tRNA from 1 species
GGAGAGGUGACGAAACGGUAGCCGUAACGGUUUGCUAAACCGUCGAGAAAUUCUCGUGCAGGUUCAAGUCCUGUUCUCUCCGCCA